CGCACCCUUCCCCCUCCCGAUCCACUCGUCUCCUCGCCGCCGCCGCCCCCCUCCCGAUCCACUCCUCUCCCCGCGCGGCAACCCUUCCUCCCCGACCUCGCCGCCCCCACCCGCUCCGCAGCUCAAGCUGGGCGCCCCCACAUCGCCGGAUCCGCACCUCCUCACCCACCACAUGGUUUCAUGGGAAGGUGUCCACGAGCUCCGCAGCUCCCCUCUGCAUCGACUACGGCCACCAGUUCAAGCUGGGCGCCCCCACAUCGCCGGAUCUGAGCUUCUUCCCCGUCAGCCGCCGCGUGCCUUCCGCCGUCGAUCCGCGUCAUCAUCGCUGCUCCGACAUCUCUGGCCUCCCCGAGCUCGUCAUCCGCACCGCGUCGUCAACCUGAGGUGCUCUGGGCUCAAUGCUCGAAAAAGGUUUACCUGACUAUCUCAGUCCCAGAUUCAGAAGAUGUUGUGAUCAAGACUGAACCUCAGGGCAUCUUUAGCUUCUCAGCUGUUGCUCAUGGGGAAUCUUUUAGCUUGGCUUUGGAGCUAUUCGAUUCCGUACUGCCUGAGGUCGCGGAGGUUUUGCUAGUUGGUUGUAGCCACAAUACAUACUAUCUUGGUUUAGUUUAGUGGCAAAUAGAGACGUUUCUCUAGGACUGUGUUAUGUGAUUGAUAGGUCACUUCACUGUCCCAUGACAAGCAUCGCAGAAAAGGUUGUGGAUUUCUAGGAAGAGCGAGCUGCUGUAUAUGUAAUGCAUGAUAAUCAUAAUAACCAUUGGACCUCCUGGACUCACAUGAUAGCAAGAUGCUAGACUAAUGCUGAUUUCUGAGCGGCUACAGAAAGGUUGGAAGCAGCCUACCCAACAAUAAAUGAGCUGGCUCUUGUUGGUGCUCUAAGGCUGUGAAGCAAGCAUCGCAGCAGCUUUUGCCGUUGGCUGUGAAGGCAAAUCAAGAAAGUGAGUAUUAUAUUCAGAUAAUGCAGAGCUUACGUGUGUAUUAUAUUCAGAUAAUGCAGAGCUUGACAAGGAGGCAACUGAUGUGUUCAUUUGGUGCUUGACUCAGAGUCCAGAGUCCUCAAGCUGUGGGACAAGGACAAGCUUCAUGCAGAGAAUACCCAAGCUAAAAUUUACUGCAAUUCACAUGUUUUGAAUUAGUCAAUCUUGAAUUGUUUAAUGAUGAUAGCUAUCUUGCACCGUACUAUAAAAUCAUGGAAGCACUCUUGUUCCUCUCACACUUCAUGGGCGACAUCCACAAGCCACUGCAUGUGUGGUCCUCCUGUGACAAAGGAGAUAACACCAUCAACGUCCACUGGUACAGAAGGAAAUCUGUACUCCACCAUGUAAGGCUAGUUAAGACUUGAGAUGCUGGCCUUCAUUCAUGUUUUGUCGUGAGGUCCAGGAUGAACAAGUUGGGAGAAGCAUUGGAGCUAGUUAUACUGUGAUAGCUGUGUUACCUGAUGUGAACAUUCUUUUAUUGUAAACCUGAUGUGAACCAUGUUUGAUUGUAAUAAUGUGCCAAGUUUGGCUCUUUCUGAUUGUAUUCAUGAUGUGAACCAUAUUUUUCUGGAUUA